GAGUCUUAACUGGGCGUUAAGUUGCAGGGUAUAGACCCGAAACCCGGUGAUCUAGCCAUGGGCAGGUUGAAGGUUGGGUAACACUAACUGGAGGACCGAACCGACUAAUGUUGAAAAAUUAGCGGAUGACUUGUGGCUGGGGGUGAAAGGCCAAUCAAACCGGGAGAUAGCUGGUUCUCCCCGAAAGCUAUUUAGGUAGCGCCUCGUGAACUCAUCUUCGGGGGUAGAGCACUGUUUCGGCUAGGGGGUCAUCCCGACUUACCAACCCGAUGCAAACUGCGAAUACCGAAGAAUGUUAUCACGGGAGACACACGGCGGGUGCUAACGUCCGUCGUGAAGAGGGAAACAACCCAGACCGCCAGCUAAGGUCCCAAAGUCACAGUUAAGUGGGAAACGAUGUGGGAAGGCUCAGACAGCCAGGAUGUUGGCUUAGAAGCAGCCAUCAUUUAAAGAAAGCGUAAUAGCUCACUGGUCGAGUCGGCCUGCGCGGAAGAUGUAACGGGGCUAAACUGUGCACCGAAGCUGCGGCAGCGACGCUUAUGCGUUGUUGGGUAGGGGAGCGUUCUGUAAGCCUGCGAAGGUGUCCUGUGAGGGAUGCUGGAGGUAUCAGAAGUGCGAAUGCUGACAUAAGUAACGAUAA
rnacentral:rRNA from 1 species